UGCAAGCAUUUUACGUCAACGAAAAAUUUCACCACAACAACAACAGUGCUGAAAAUCGGACCUAUCUAGCUAAAAAUUUCGCAAACAUUUCGUUCGUUUGAAUAUUCGAGUUAAAAAAUCACAAAAUUUGGUGACAUGGUGAAAAUAACGUGACAAUUUGACAGCAGUAUUAUCACAAUUUCUUACUAUAUAAAUAGCCAAACAUCGCUAAAUACACACUAAACGAGUCGGGAACAUUGUGCGACGAAAACAAGUACCUACUUCAGUAAAGUCGAGUCACAAAGCAGCACAAAGAUGAAACCAGUUCAUUUAUUAUUGAUGCUCAUAGCAGUGCAGACAUUCGCGCUGAUUUCCGCCGGAAGUGAUGACGAACAAAGCGGGGGAGCACUUAACAGCGUGGAGAAAGGUUUGGGUGUUGAUGGGGGACUCGGAGGAGGAGCCAAGGGGGGCGCUGGCAACUACCCAGGCUACAGUGGCAGCAGCACCAACGGCGACAGUAACGACGACGACCCGGCCAAAGGUGCAUAAAGCUAAAGCGACGAAGGCAGCGAGCUGCGAGCGUGGCAAAUGGUUCAUUCGUUCUUUAAGAUAUUCAUUGAGAACUGUGAAACAUUUCGUCUUCAUUGCUACAUUUCAACACGACGAUUUAUUAUCAACCCUAACACUUCAGAACUGCUCAGAAUUGGUUCAUAUUUAUUCACAUUUUAAAUUUUAAGACAUGAUAUUUUAAUAUUUUUAACGGGUUAUGGGUGGUGUAUAGUAGGUUUGUGUAGGUAACGACAAUUUAUGUUGCAUACUACCUAUACUUUAAUAAAGGAUUACUGCAUUCUGAAA